rnacentral:tRNA from 3 species
UUUAAUUAGUAUAAAAAGUACAUUUAAUUUCCAAUUAAAUAGUUUCUAAAGAAAUUAAAU